AGCAGCAUAAUUUAAUUAAGAAUAAUUAUUUUACAAGUAAUAAGUGGUUUAACCUGUUGUUA
rnacentral:tRNA from 1 species